rnacentral:rRNA from 1 species
UAAUACGGAGGGAGCAAGCGUUAUUCGGAAUUACUGGGUGUAAAGCGCGCGUAGGUGGUCGUGUAAGUCAGGCGUGAAAUCCUCUGGCUUAACCAGAGAAUUGCUCUUGAUACUAUGCGACUUGAGUAUGGGAGAGGAAGGUGGAAUUCCUAGUGUAGCGGUGAAAUGCGUAGAUAUUGGGGAGAACACCGGUGGCGAAGGCGGCCUUCUGGCCCAAUACUGACACUGAGGUGCGAAAGCUAGGGGAGCGAACGGGAUUAGAUACCCCGGUAGUCCUAGCCGUAAACGAUGGGCACUAGGUGUAGGGAGAAAAUCUUUCUGUGCCGAAGCUAACGCAUUAAGUGCCCCACCUGGGGAGUACGUUCGCAAGAAUG